rnacentral:rRNA from 1 species
GGCUUAGAGUUUGAUCAUGGCUCAGGACGAACGCUGGCGGCGUGCUUAACACAUGCAAGUCGAACGGGGUGUUUAUUUCGGUAAACACCAAGUGGCGAACGGGUGAGUAACGCGUAAGCAAUCUACCUUCAAGAUGGGGACAACACUUCGAAAGGGGUGCUAAUACCGAAUGAAUGUAAGAGUAUCGCAUGAGACACUUACUAAAGGAGGCCUCUGAAUAUGCUUCCGCUUGAAGAUGAGCUUGCGUCUGAUUAGCUAGUUGGUGAGGGUAAAGGCCCACCAAGGCGACGAUCAGUAGCCGGUCUGAGAGGAUGAACGGNCACAUUGGGACUGAGACACGGCCCAGACUCCUACGGGAGGCAGCAGUGGGGAAUCUUCCGCAAUGGGCGAAAGCCUGACGGAGCAACGCCGCGUGAACGAUGAAGGUCUUAGGAUCGUAAAGUUCUGUUGUUAGGGACGAAGGGUAAGAAUCAUAAUACGGUUUUUAUUUGACGGUACCUAACGAGGAAGCCACGGCUAACUACGUGCCAGCAGCCGCGGUAAUACGUAGGCGGCAAGCGUUGUCCGGAAUUAUUGGGCGUAAAGGGAGCGCANGCGGGAAACUAAGCGGAUCUUAAAAGUGCGGGGCUCAACCCCGUGAGGGGGUCCGAACUGGCUUUCUUGAGUGCAGGAGAGGAAAGCCGGAAUUCCUCAGUGUAGCGGUGAAAUGCGUAGAUAUUGGGAAGAACACCCAGUGGCGAAAGCCGCUUUCUGGACUGUAACUGACGCUGAGCUCGAAAGCUAGGGUAGCGAACGGGAUUAGAUACUCCGGUAGUCCUAGCCGUAAACGAUGGAUACUAGGUGUGGGGAGUAUCGACUCCUUCCGUG